rnacentral:rRNA from 1 species
UAGUCCACGCCGUAAACGAUGGAUACUAGCUGUUCGGUACUUGUACUGAGUGGCUAAGCGAAAGUGAUAAGUAUCCCACCUGGGGAGUACGUUCGCAAGAAUGAAACUCAAAGGAAUUGACGGGGGCCCGCACAAGCGGUGGAGCAUGUGGUUUAAUUCGAUGAUACGCGAGGAACCUUACCAGGGCUUAAAUGUAUUGUGACAGGUGUGGAAACACACCCUUCUUCGGACACAUUACAAGGUGCUGCAUGGUUGUCGUCAGCUCGUGCCGUGAGGUGUCAGGUUAAGUCCUAUAACGAGCGCAACCCCUGUUGUUAGUUGCCAGCGAUUAAAGUCGGGAACUCUAACAAGACUGCCGGUGCAAACCGUGAGGAAGGUGGGGAUGACGUCAAAUCAAUCACGGCCCUUACGUCCUGGGGCUACACACGUGCUACAAUGGCCGGGUACAGAGGGGCAGCCACUACGCGAGUAGGGAGCGGAAUCCUUAAAACCGGGCUCAGUUCGGGAUCGGGAGUCUGGCAACUC